rnacentral:lncRNA from 1 species
GUUUUUCCGCCCAUCGCCACGAUAGCGGCUCCACGGCGGGCGCGGAGUUGGGAGCGGCGCUCGAGCAGCGGCUCGGUGCCCUGGCCAUCCACACUGAGGUCGUGGAGCACCCCGAGGUCUGGCCAUCUUCUAAAGAGUUUGAACCUACUGAAGAACUAUCUUGACUGUCUUGAUGAGGGAGCUGAAGAAAUCCUUCACUGGAGUCUGAGCGGAAGUGGAAUCUAUUUUCCUUCUUCUUGAAUUUGGAAUGCUUUUGGCCAAGAGAAAGAGGUGGAAGUGAUGGUGUAACAGUUCCAAGUCUAGGCCUCAAGUUGCCUGUGGACUUCCACUCAGACUCUCAGAGCCCUGCUGGAGGAUGGAGAGACCACAUGGAACAGAGAAGGGUUAUCCCACCGAGGCCACCAUAGACCAGCCAGCCCUCAGCGUACAUGCCAGCUAAUUACAGAUGCAGGAGCAAACCCCUGGCCCAUACAUCAAUUUUAAUGUCAUUGAAUACAGAGAACAAAUCUCAUUCACUUUGGUAUCGGCUGGAGUCAACAAACAUUUAAAAAUCAUUUACUGCGUCUGAUUUUGGAUGAGGAAAUUAACUGAGAAAGAAGAUACAAGACCUGCCAAAUUCUUUUUUUUUGUUUUGUUUGAGACAGAGUCUCACUCUGUCGCCCAGGCUGUAGUGGCGCGAUCUCGACUCACUGCAACCUCCACCUCCUCGGUUCAAGCGAUUCUCCUGCCUCAGCCUCCUGAGUAGCUGGGCUUACAGGCAUGCGCCACCAUGCCCAGCUAAUUUUUGUAUUUUUAAUAGAGACGGGGUUUUGCCACACUGGCCAGGCUAGUCUCGAACCCCUGACCUCAGGUGAUCUACCCACCUUGGCCUCCCAAAGUGCUGGGAUUACAGAAGUGAGCCACUGUGCCCAGCCUGACCUGUCAAAUUCCUGUCAAACUCAACUUCAUGUAACACUGAACUGUAACUAUCAAGUUAGAAUAUUUUUUUCAUUUGUUUGCAUAUAUAUAGACUUCAUUAAUCUUAAUUUAGUGAUCUCAGUUAAGAAGCAAUCUGAAAUAUGUUUUGCUUUCACUUUUGGAAAAAAGUCUGAAAUAGAAGUAAAUAUUUUGACUACAAGGGAAGGACUUCAAAGGUCUGCUCUAUAUAUGAUGCUAAGAAAAGGAAUAAAAGAAGAACCCCAGAGUUCAAUAAAAUUAGUAAUAUCCAUAGAUCCCUUUUGUAAAAGUCUAACUAAAAGCAAUAUGCUAAUCUAUCAUAAAAUAAACA